CUUUACUGUAGCCUGGUAUUGGGUUCGGGCUUUGACUGCGCAGGAUAGGUGGGAGACAGAGAAGUGUGCCUUGUGGGGAACAUGGAGUCAACGGUGAGAUACCACUCUGUCAGAGCUAGAAUUCUAACCUUCACCCGUAAUCCGGGGAAGGAACCGUAUCAGGUGGGCAGUUUGACUGGGGCGGUCGCCUCCUAAAAGGUAACGGAGGCGCGCAAAGGUGUUCUCAGGCUGGUUGGAAAUCAGCCGUAGAGUGUAAAGGCAGAAGAACGCUUGACUGUGAGAGUGACAACUCAAGCAGGGUGGAAACACGGCCUUAGUGGUCCGACGGUAUGCGCGUGGAAGUGCCGUCGCUCAACGGAUAAAAGUUA
rnacentral:rRNA from 1 species